rnacentral:rRNA from 1 species
GAUGAACGCUAGCUACAGGCUUAACACAUGCAAGUCGAGGGGUAACGAGAGGAAAGCUUGCUUUCCUUGUCGACGACCGGCGCACGGGUGAGUAACGCGUAUCCAACCUGCCCCCAACUAGGGAAUAACCUUGCGAAAGUAAGACUAAUACCCUAUAAUUUCCUCAGAUGUCAUCUGACGAGGAAUAAAGAUUUAUCGGUUGUGGAUGGGGAUGCGUCUGAUUAGCUUGUUGGCGGGGUAACGGCCCACCAAGGCAACGAUCAGUAGGGGUUCUGAGAGGAAGGUCCCCCACAUUGGAACUGAGACACGGUCCAAAAUCCUACGGGAGGCAUCAGUGAGGAAUAUUGGUCAAUGGGCGGAAGCCUGAACCAGCCAAGUAGCGUGCAGGAUGACGGCCCUAUGGGUUGUAAACUGCUUUUAUACAGGAAUAAAGUUAGCCACGUGUGGUUAUUUGUAGGUACUGUAUGAAUAAGGACCGGCUAAUUCCGUGCCAGCCGCCGCAGUAA